GAGACACCCCUCCGGGGCAAGACUUGCUUCACUGGGGCUUUGGUGCUCACUGAGUCUGCCCCCUGAGUGUGUCCUU
rnacentral:pre_miRNA from 1 species